UACGAAGGGGGCUAGCGUUGCUCGGAAUCACUGGGCGUAAAGCGCACGUAGGCGGCUUUCUAAGUCAGGGGUGAAAUCCUGGAGCUCAACUCCAGAACUGCCUUUGAUACUGGGAGCUCGAGUCCGGAAGAGGUGAGUGGAACUCCGAGUGUAGAGGUGAAAUUCGUAGAUAUUCGGAAGAACACCAGUGGCGAAGGCGGCUCACUGGUCCGGUACUGACGCUGAGGUGCGAAAGCGUGGGGAGCAAACAGG
rnacentral:rRNA from 1 species